CCCAUGGCCUGGCAGAGAGGGCUCCCAGCUGAGUUAUGCUGCCUGCAAACAGGCAGCCUCAACACCCGGGGAGGGAGGGGCACAGGGAGUUUGCAGUGUGUUCCUGGGGGAGUUCAGGGUGUGAGAUCUGGAUAAGAGAAUUCAAGAUCCCUGGUGAGCCCUGAGGCUCGGCCUGCAAACCUCUGAGGGAACAGGGACAGAUGAGAGCUCUGAGGAGCUCUGUCAGAAUCCACGUUUGGGUUGGAAGGGACCUUAAAGCUCAUUGAGUUCCACCCCUUGCCGUGGGCAGGGACACCUUCCUCUAGCCCAGGCUGUCCCGGGUAAGCUCCUCAGAUGUAAAGCACUGACAGGCUGUGUCUGCUGCUGCAGGGACCAUCAAGGAGAUCCUGGGCACUGCCCAGUCCGUGGGCUGCAGCAUUGAUGGGAGACACCCCCACGACAUCAUCGAUGACAUCAACAGUGGUGCCAUCGAGUGCCCGGCUAGCUAAGACUGCAGAAAAGGAAGUUGCCACAUGAAGGCUCCUUCAGUUUUUUGUAGCACUUUAAAUACUAAAAUAAAGACCCAGUUGUCUGCAAACAUUA